rnacentral:rRNA from 1 species
AGAGUUUGAUCCUGGCUCAGAACGAACGCUGGCGGCGUGCCUAACACAUGCAAGUCGUACGAGAAAGUUCCCUUCGGGGAGCGAGUAAAGUGGCGCAAGGGUGAGUAACACGUGAGUAACCUGCCCUGAAGACUGGGAUAACUUGCCGAAAGGCGGGCUAAUACCGGAUUGUAUCCGUGAAUCGCGGUUUGCGGAUUAAAGGUGGCCUCUAUUUAUAAGCUAUCACUUCAGGAUGGGCUCGCGCGCCAUUAGCUAGUUGGUGGGGUAAUGGCCUACCAAGGCUACGAUGGCUAGUUGGUCUGAGAGGAUGAUCAACCACACUGGAACUGAGACACGGUCCAGACUCCUACGGGAGGCAGCAGUGAGGAAUAUUGCGCAAUGGGGGAAACCCUGACGCAGCAACGCCGCGUGGAGGAUGAAGGCCUUCGGGUUGUAAACUCCUGUCGGGUGGGAAGAAUCCCCUGGAAGCUAAUAUCUUCCAGGGUUGACGGUACCGCCAAAGGAAGCCCCGGCUAACUCCGUGCCAGCAGCCGCGGUGAUACGGAGGGGGCGAGCGUUGUUCGGAAUUAUUGGGCGUAAAGGGCGUGUAGGCGGCCUGCUAAGUCAGAAGUGAAAUCCCGGGGCUCAACCUCGGAAGUGCAUUUGAUACUGCAUGACUUGAGUAUGGGAGGGGGAAGUGGAAUUCCUGGUGUAGAGGUGAAAUUCGUAGAUAUCAGGAGGAACACCAGUGGCGAAGGCGACUUCCUGGACCAAUACUGACGCUGAGGCGCGAAGGCGUGGGUAGCAAACAGGAUUAGAUACCCUGGUAGUCCACGCAGUAAACGGUGAUCACUAGGUGUAGCGGGUAUUGACCCCUGCUGUGCCGCAGUUAACGCAUUAAGUGAUCCGCCUGGGGAGUACGAUCGCAAGAUUAAAACUCAAAGGAAUUGACGG